rnacentral:rRNA from 1 species
ACGAACGCUGGCGGCGUGCUUAACCCAUGCAAGUCGAACGGAAAGGCCCUGCUUUUGUGGGGUGCUCGAGUGGCGAACGGGUGAGUAACACGUGAGUAACCUGCCCUUGACUUUGGGAUAACUUCAGGAAACUGGGGCUAAUACCGGAUAGGAGCUCCUGCUGCAUGGUGGGGGUUGGAAAGUUUCGGCGGUUGGGGAUGGACUCGCGGCUUAUCAGCUUGUUGGUGGGGUAGUGGCUUACCAAGGCUUUGACGGGUAGCCGGCCUGAGAGGGUGACCGGCCACAUUGGGACUGAGAUACGGCCCAGACUCCUACGGGGGGCAGCAGUGGGGAAUAUUGCACAAUGGGCGGAAGCCUGAUGCAGCAACGCCGCGUGCGGGAUGACGGCCUUCGGGUUGUAAACCGCUUUCGCCUGUGACGAAGCGUGAGUGACGGUAAUGGGUAAAGAAGCACCGGCUAACUACGUG